GCCCAUUUUUGCCCCCUUCUACACAAUUAAUUGGAGAGAUUUGAAGAUCAAGAGGAGGAAAAAGAUGGAGCUCAUGGUAGCCAUGGCAACUCACGGCCAUGGCUUUCUUGAAGACAUUUCAUGGUGAAAAAUUAGAGCUUGUCUCUAAGACCUUGGGGAGCCCGAGGCGUAGAUUUGGAUUAGCUUUAGAUUGGCUAUCUUGGAAGUGCGUUCGAGGUACCGACGACAGGUUUGCUGAUCCGUCCGUCUAGGAUAUCUUUUCUGCCAUUUGGAGCGCUCUUUUAUUCAGAGCCCAUCUUUUGGUACAGUCUGUCACUACUGUAUUUAUAUAUUCUC